UACGUAGGGUGCAGGCGUUAAUCGGAAUUACUGGGCGUAAAGCGUGCGCAGGCGGUCUUUUAAGUCAGAUGUGAAAUCCCCGGGCUUAACCUGGGAACUGCGUUUGAAACUGGAAGGCUAGAGUGUGGCAGAGGGGGGUGGAAUUCCACGUGUAGCAGUGAAAUGCGUAGAUAUGCGGAGGAACACCGAUGGCGAAGGCAAUCCCCUGGGCCUGUACUGACGCUCAUGCACGAAAGCGUGGGGAGCGAACAGG
rnacentral:rRNA from 1 species